GGCAUCCUGGCCGAGCGGUUAAGGCGAGAGAUUAGAAAUCUCUUGGGGUUUCCCCGCGUAGGUUCCGAAUCCUGCGGGAUGUCG
rnacentral:tRNA from 1 species